CUCAUUAGACUGAUUCUUGAGUAGUAAUUUGUUCACAAACCAAAUGGAAGAGAAUUAUUAGACUGGUUCUCGGACAGUGACUCGUUCACAAAUCGAAUAAAUGAGAAUUAUUAGACUGAUUCUCGAGUAGGUAUUUGUUAACAAACCAAAUGAAUGAGAAUCAUUAGGCUGGUUCUUGGGUAGCGAUUUGUUCACAAGUCAAUUGAAUGAGAUUCGCUAGACUGAUUAUCGUGGAGUUACUUGUUUACGAAUCAAAUGAACGAGAAUCAUUAAAC